rnacentral:rRNA from 1 species
UACGUAGGGUGCGAGCGUUGUCCGGAAUUAUUGGGCGUAAAGGGCUCGUAGGCGGUUUGUCGCGUCGGGAGUGAAAUCCACUGGCUUAACUGGUGGCUUGCUUUCGAUACGGGCAGACUGGAGGUAUGCAGGGGAGAACGGAAUUCCUGGUGUAGCGGUGAAAAUGCGCAGAUAUCAGGAGGAACACCGGUGGCGAAGGCGGUUCUCUGGGCAUGUCCUGACGCUGAGGAGCGAAAAGUGUGGGGGAGCGAACAGGGAUUAGAAAACCCC